GAGGAUCGCUAGCAACAACAACUUCAGGAAGACGAGUAGCUGUAGUGCACGAAGUGGAUGCACUUACAUCAAUCUCUGCUCAGGUAUCUUCUAUUUCCUCAAUGUUGAAACAGUUUACUAUUAAUAGUUCUAAUAAUUUUGUAGCUCAAUCUCUAAGUUAGUAUAAUGUUGUUUCCUCUGCAUAUUGUGAGGAUGACCAUUCUUUCGAGAAUUGCCCUUCAAACCCUAAGUUUGUUUAUUAUGUAAGGAAUUAGUCUCAAAAUAGAAGUGGACAAGGACCACAGUCCAACUUCUACAAUCCUUUGUGGCGCAAUCAUCCGAAUUUUUCUUAGAGUAACUAAGGAAAUGGACUGAACAACACCUACAUCUAGCAUAGACCUAACCAAUCUCAAGGGUUUAACCAACAAGCUCCAAAACCACCUCAAGCUGAAUCAUCAAAUAAUUUGGAGGAAUUGUUGAAGGUGUACAUGGUGAAAAAUGAUGCAUUAAUCCAAAGUCAAGCAGCAACAAUAAAGAAUUUGGAGAACCAAAUGGGUCAGUUAGCUACCGAGUUUCGUAAUAGACCGCAAGGAGCCUUGCCGAGUGAUACAAAAAAUCCAAGGAAUUUUGGUAAGGAACAUUGCAAGGUAGUUUCAUUACGAAGUGUUAAGAUUUUGGAACCCAAGAAGGUUGUGAUUGAGGAUGAGCCUAUGAGAAGGAGGAAAGUCAACCAACAGUUAAAGUUCUUAUAUUGGAAAAGCCAGAUAUUGAGAAAUCUGAUGAGGUAAAAUCUAAACUAGUGAAUUCUGAUAAGCUAACACAUUCUUUUAUAGAUUUAUCUCUUCGGAAAAGUUGUCCAAUUCAACCUAAAGUUUCAUCACCUCCAUAUCCUCAAAGACUCCAGCAGCAUAGGAAAAAACAAUAGGUGCAAUUCAAGAAGUUCUUGAAUGUUCUGAAGCAACUUCACAUCAACAUCUCAUUGGUGAAAGCUUUAGAGCAAAUUCCUAAUUACGUGAAGUUCAUAAAAGACAUCCUAUCCAAGAAGAAAAUACUUAGUGUGUAUGAGACUGUCGCUUUAAUAAAGGAGUACAAUGCGUUCCUACAGAACAAGCUACCUCCAAAAUUGAAGGAACUUAGAAGUUCACCAUACCGUGUAACAUCAGAGAAUCUUACUGUGGUAAAGCUUUGUGCGACCUAGGAGCAAUCAUCAACUUGAUUCCCAAAUCUAUUUUUAAGUUGUUGGGAAUAGGUAAAGUAAAACUCACUACUGUGACACUUCAACUAGCGAAUCAGUCUUUAGCAUAUUUCGAAGGAAAGAUCAAAGAUGUUUUGCUAAGAGUUGAUAAGUUUAUUUUUCCUGCUGACUUUAUUGUGUUAGACUUUGAAGAAGAUAAGGAAGUGUCGAUCAUCUUUGGGAGACCUUUCCUAGCUACGAGAAGAACAUUAAUAGAUGUGCAAAAAGGCAAACUCAGAAUGAGAGUUCAAAACGAUCAUGUAACAUUUAAUGUUCUGAAAGUAAUGAAAUUUCCAAAUCCAACGGAGGAAUGUUCAGUAAUGGAGGAGUAAGAAACCUUAGUUUCUAUGGAAUGGGAAAGUAAUCUUGAAGAAGACUCAUUAGAGAACACUUUAGAGUCUGACCCAUUGGAAUAUGAAAAAGGUAAUGACAAUAUGGUUUGAUGGAAGCCAAUCUGAGGAGCUAUGUUCAACCACUGCGGUUUAAACCAUUAGAGUUGAAAGUUCGAGAAUUUACACAACACAAGUUAUCAAUCAAUGAACCACCUAAGCUCAAACUAAAGGUACUCCCUUCCCAUUUAAAAUACGUUUAUUUAGGUAACAAUUUUACUUUACCUAUGAUUGUUUCAGCAGAACUAACAGAACAUCAAGAAGAGCAAUUGGUUAUUGGUUGGACCAUAGUUGACAUUCGAAGUAUAAGCCCUUCCUUUUGUAUGCACAAAAUUAUUUUAGAGGGUGAAAGAGGUAGAAUCAAUGGGCAAAGGAGACUUAACCCUAUCAUGAUAGAGGUAGUGCGGAAGUAAUGAUCAAAUGGUUAGAUGCGGGAAUUAUCUACCCCAUAUCAGAUAGUUCGUGGGUAAGUCCGGUAUAGUGUAUACCAAAGAAAUGUGGGAUCACGAUUUUUUAGAAUGAACGUAGCGAGUUAAUCCCAAUGAGAACUACGAAGGGUUGGAGAAUCUGUAUUGACUAUAGAAAGUUGAACAAAACUACUCGGAAAGACCAUUUUCAGUUGUUUUUUAUGGAUCAAAUGUUAGAUCGAUUGGCAUGUAAUGAAUUUUACUGCUUUUAGAUGGAUAUUCGGGAUACAAUCAAAUAGUUGUAGCCCUAGAAGACCAACAUAAAACUACUUUUACUUGCACGUACGAUACAUUUUCUUUUAAACACGUACCUUUUGGCUUAUGUAAUACACUUGCCACAUUUUAGCGAUGUAUGAUGGGAAUUUUCACUGAUAUGGUUGAAAAUUUUGUCGAAGUUUUCAUGGAUGAUUUUUUAAUUUUUGGUAACACUAAUGAAGUUUGUUUGAGUAAUUUGGCUAAGGUACCAAAGAGAUGCGAGGUGAUGAAUCUUAUCCUUAACAGGGAAAAAUGUCAUUUUAUGGUUAAGGAAUGAAUUGUCUUAGGACAUAAAAUUUCCAAAAGUGGUAUUGAAGUUGAUAAAGCUAAGGUGGAUGUAAUUGAAAAGUUACCACCUCCAGUUAGUGUGAAAGGAGUUAGAAGUUUCUUAGGCCAUACUAGUUUUUAUCGUAGAUUUAUUAAAGAUUUUUCAAAAAUUUCUAAACCUUUGUGUAUGCUUUUGUAAAAAGAUAUUAUUUUUUUAUUUUAACAAAGCAUGUUUAGAAGCUUUCAAUGAAUUGAGAAAUUGAUUAAUCUUAGCCCCAAUAAUUAUUAUUCUUGAUUGGAACUCACCUUUUGAGUUGAUGUGUGACGCAAGCGAUUUCGCAGUUGGAGUUGUGAUAAGUCAAAGAAGAAACAAAGUGUUCCAUCCUAUCUAAUAUGCAAGCAGAACUUGGACAGGAGCCCGGUUCAAUUAUACAACAACUGAAAAAGAACUCUUUGCUAUAUAUUUUUUUUCUUUUGACAAGUUCUGUUCAUAUCUUAUAUGUACCAAAGUUAUAGUGUUUACCGAUCAUGCGGCCAUAAAAUACUUACUCACAAAGAAAUAUGCUAAACCGAAACUAAGUUGAUGGAUACUUUUACUCCAAGAAUUUGACCUUGAGAUUCAAGACAGAAAGGGUUUUGAAAACCAAGUAGCUGACCAUCUGUCAAGGUUGGAACAAAACGAGGUAACCCCUUCACUUUUUCUUAUUAAUGAAAAUUUCCCUAAUGAACAUAUCUUUGAGGUAAGUCAAAUUCAUGAAACACUUGGGUUCGUUGAUUUUGCAAAUUAUUUUGCAUGUGGAAUAAUUCCUCGAGAAUUGACAUACCAACAAAGGAAGAAAUUCCUUCAUGAUAGUCGGCAUUAUUUCUGGGAGGAUCCAUUUUUGUUUAAACAAUAUGCAAAUAACAUAAUUAGGAAGUGCGUAGCUAAAAGUGAAAUUGCAGAGAUCUUUUACCAUUUCCAUUCAUCUCUGAGUGGGGGGCACUUUGGCAGUUCUCGUACUAUAGCAAAGAUUUUACAAUCAGGAUUCUUUUGGCCUACAAUAUUCAAGGAUGCAUAUGCAUAUGUGAAAACUAUGGUAGAUGCCAAAGGACUGAAAUAUAUCAUAGAGGAACAAGAUGCCCUUGGCAAAUAUUUUAGAGGUUGAAUUAUUCGAUGUAUAGGGCAUUGAUUUGCUAGGCCCGUUUCCUUCUUCUUAUGGGAACAAAAAUAUUUUAGUAGCUGUAGAUUAUGUAUCCAAGUGGGUUGAAGCCGAGGCGUACCCAACAAAUGGUGCUAAGGUAGUCAUGCGAUUCCUACAUAAGCAUGUAUUUACACAAUUUGGGACUCUAAGAGCUAUAAUUAGUAAUGAAAGAUCUCACUUUGUAAAUACUUGGCUUAAGUGGUUACUUGACAAGUAUGAUGUGAAACAAAAAGUUGCUAAUGCCUAUCAUCCACAGUCAAAUGGGCAAGUUAAAAGGGUGAAUCGUGAAAUCAAAGGUAUUCUUAAAAAGGUAGUGCACCUCAAUAGAAAAUAUUGGUCUUAAAGGCUCAGUGAUGCUUUAUGGGCCAAUCGAACUACUUUUAAGACGUCGUUAGGAAUGAAUCUGUACAGGUUAGUAUUUGGAAAAGUGUGUCAUUUGUUGCUUGAGUUGGAAAAUAAGACUCACUAAGCUUUGAAACAAUUAAAUUUGGAUCUUAAGCAAACAAAUGUGAGAAGAAUGCUAUAGCUCAAUGAGUUGGAAGAGUUGAGGUUAUUUUCAGACUAGAAUGCCAAGAUAUGUAAAGAAAAAUCUAAAAGAUGGCAUGAAAAUCGUAUACAACCUUGUGAAUUCAGAAUAAGUCAGAAGGUGUUGUUUAAUUCAAGGCUAAGGUUAUUUCCUGUGAAGCUCAAGUCUCAAUGGAAAGGACCUUAUACCAUCUAUAAAGUUUAUCCAUAUGGAGCUGUAGAAUUGUACGACAACCAUGGAGGUACGUUUAAAGUUAAUGGUUAACGUCUCAAACACUAUUAGGAUGGUGAAGUUGAGCAAGUUGAAACCUCGUUCAAAUUAAUAGACCCUUAAUUUUUCAUGUUUUUACUUUUUAAUAAAGAGUUAGAAAUUAUUUUCUUGAAUUAGUAUAUUUAAUUAAUGCUGUGUAAGGAUAUUGAAACUUAAGUGGGACCAUUUGUAACCUCUCCAACCUUUCUUGGGAAUUAAUUUAAUGUAAUCUUUUGAGAAGAAAUUUUCUAAUUAACUUCGAAAUUUUUAUUUUCAUUUUAAUCUUUGUUUUUAAUGUUAAUUUUAAUUGUUUAUGUUUAAUAAGGGGGGUCAAAUUGGCCCAAAUACUAAUCAUUUUAUUUUGUUUUUUAAGUAGUUCAAUUUGUAAAUACAGUUUGGGCUCAAUGCUUGAAACAGUAAAGAGGAGAAAAUUUACCCCAUAUUGCCGACCAAAGAGUUCUUAAAACCCUAAUUUUUCCGCCACUUUCUUUUCCAUCUUACCUUACUGUCCAAGUAACUUUUGUAACUAAAAUUUUGCUACAACUUUACCUUGAUUUAUUACUAUAUAAACCCCUUUUUACCACUAUAUAUUUUCAUAACCAUUCAAGAAAUUAGCUUAAACCCUAGCCACUUAUUCUUUUUCCUCAUAGCCAUGAGUCUUAAAUCCCGAAGAAUCUCUCCAAUUUCUUUCCCUUGUCACAAAACCCUAUUAUCGCUGCCACAUAGCUCUUGCUGGAGUAAUUUUUCCACCGCCGCAAACCUCCUACUAUCAUCCAUUGUCGAUUUCUUUUCCCUUCCUUUUGCCAAAAUUCUGCCUAUAUUUCAGAAAAAAUACCAUGUCUAGCAAAAGAACUAGAUCUUUCAAGACCAAUGCCGAAAAUCUAAUCGUGAUUCAAGAUGCGGAAGCGAGAGAAAGGUUUGAUUCUAUCUUAAAAAAUCAACAAAUGAUGCUAGAAAAAGGUUUCAAUUUAGAGAGCAAUGACAAAAUGGUGGUGCCUUUGCCAAUUCGAAAAAAAUUGAUGUCCUUAAUUGAACUAUUCCUGUGAUGCGCGAUCACUUCCUGAAGAGAAGUUAGUUCGAGAAUUUCAUGCCAACGUAACUAUGCUAGAUGCUAUGGAAGUUAUUGUUCACAAAAAGAAGGUACCCUUAACUUCUAAAUCCAUUAAUGAUUUGUUUUAUUUGCCUGAUGUUGAAGAGGAUGAGUACUUUGCCAUGAUGACAAAUAUAAAUUGGGAUUUUCUUCAACAAGUGCUUAAUAUUGUCACAAAUCUAGGAUCCCAAUGGAUUAUAAGAAAGUAUGGUAGUUAUUCUUGCCGAAGGGAAUAUCUAAAAUCGGUAGCUAAGGUAUGGCUUUACUUUGUUCAAUAUAACUUCAUGCCUAUCGCAUAUAGUUCUACCAUCUUGAUGGAAUGAAUGUUUUUUUUAAUGCAAUUAUGACAGCAAGGUCUAUCAAUGUUGGAAAAAUUAUUCUCAUGGAGAUCCAUGAUUGAGCUAAAAAAAAGAUAAGAAGUAUCCACUUUCCAUCAUUGAUUACUUCACUUUGCUUAAGGGCCCAAGUUAAAUCAAAAGCAAACCUGAAGGGCCAAUAUGUUCAAGGUUGCAUCACAGCCCAUGAUCUUGAAAGGUUAGUGGAGAAUGUCCAUGAGUUGAACCCAGUUGAACCGAAUGAACCAACCGAACCAGAAACUGACGAAAUUGAUUAUGUAAUUAUCCUAGCCUAUUCACGUUAUUGAUUGUUGAAGUUGUAUUUCUGCUGCUAAAUUCAUUCAUUCAUUCAUUUUAGUUAAUUAUCAUACUUUGUAUUUAGAUUAAUUUGCAUUAGGGAUCAAUUUUGCAUCUAGUUAAUUUAACUUUUUUUAAUCAUCAUCAUUCAAAUUAUUGUGCUUUUAUCACCGAAUUGUUAACUUAUAAUUUUGCAAAUAAUUGAUUAACAUACACAGUUCCUGUGGAGACGAUAACUCAGUUUACUUAUUAUUUGAACGACUAUGUACA
rnacentral:lncRNA from 1 species